ensembl:lncRNA
GCAAGUGUAAGCAGUAUUUUAAAGACACAGGUGACAGUGAAACACUAUCUUGGCUUUCCUCCCCGUUUAGUCAUGCCUUUCAGUCCACCCUUGCUGCAGGUGACAUGAAUUUGAUUAUCCCAGCUACUCAACCUCCCAAUGAAAAACAGCAGCUCCCAUCCAGGAACAAAUCAGCAUGAAAUCAGACAGUUGACAGUGGUUUCUCAAAAACUCCCUUUAAUGUAGUUACACUGGGGACCGGGUUACCUAUUAAAACCAAGCUGAUCUCUCACAUCUGACCUGUGGUUGUGCCUGCUUUCAUCUCAUCCAUCCUUUCAUGUUUUCGGAUUACGGUGCUGUGGGAGGCCAACCUAAGGUGUUUAAUGAAUACUAUUAUUUUAUAAGCUUCUCUUAAAUAGUUAGACAAAUAUUCUGUAAUCCUUUGGACUCAUCCUAGGUCAACCACAUAGUUAAUGGACAAUGAUAACAAACAAGUUGAAAUUGAAGCUUUGGGGAAAAUGCCCCUUCCUUCAUCACACGCACGUGUGCGCACAUGCACAGUCUGAAGCACGACAGACACGGUAUAGAAGAAAUACAACACUCUGUCAUGGAUAUCUUACACAACUCCAGUCCUGCAGAUGUAGUUUGGAAUUCUGAAGCAUUAUUCAAGUGAGUCCCUACAUAGGUUGUCCUCCAAAAGAACCUGCGUGUAGAUCCUGACAGGAGCAACAGAGAAACCUGUGGGGUCAUCGUUCAAGAUGCUAGUCUGUGUUGUCUGGAAGUCAAUGUACAGGGGUGACUAGUGAAUGAACAAGGAAAUCUGCCAAUUUCCAUGCUACUGGCUUCUGCUUCUGACAAUAGAGAUUUGUACAUCGAUGCUGUGCUCGCCAGCUGGUCCGUGGGAUUUGCGUUAUGCUAUUUGUUUGGAUGGAUGCGUUCCUGUAAAGAGAUGAUGUCGCGUUUUUCAGCCGGCACAGGAGUUUGCAGGCUGCUGAAAGCUCAACAGCCAUUCAGGCUUCAAAGACAAAAGGGAGAUUUCCCUCUUUAAUCUUCGCCGAUGUUCCCUCACUCAACCCAUCUUGGCUGGAAGCUCUCUGGAGCAGCGCACACAGCGCUCGCCAAUGCGCGGAGCCGUGCGCUCCUGGUGCUAAUAAAGCCAUCGCUCCGGCACGGCAGGUCGGGUGAUUACUGCCUCUGGUAAAUGCUUGUGAGACAAUAAGCAGACAUAGGGAGAAAUGAACUGAUCGAGGUGAGCAAGAGGAUGGGGUGGAUGAGAAACGCGGGGUGGGAGAGCCUCGGCAAUACGUUCACCCAGGGGAACCUCACCCUGCUGGUGGAUUCCCGACCCACGCUCUUAUCUCUCUGCAGAGCCCGCAGUGAAAAGCCAAUGCUGUUCAGGAAGCUUUUUCCUUACAGAUGAGAUAUAAAACCAAUGCCUGCCUAACCACUUAUGUACAUUAAUGAUCCCCCAGUGCUCUCCAAAAGAGGAAAAAUAUUAACCCAGGCAUCAUAAUAAUAUGCUGCUUGCUUAUAAGCCCUGUACAAUUUAAAUUCAAUCUGGUGUGAUGUUAUUUCUGACUUCCUGACCCAAAUUGGUGUGCGUGCAGCUCUGAGCUGUUAAGCAGAUGAUUGUUCCAUCCCAGCAGCAGAUCCAUCUCUCCGAUGCCUUGGAAGGAUUUCUCGGCCUGCGUUGCAGAGAGCCUCUGUUGAAAAAUGUGCCGCAUGUCAAACCGUUGGCUGAGCACAGCACAUCAUCCAUGGGGCCAUUUUUACUGUACACACACAUCCUUCGUUUCCUACGAACACACCACUGCCAGAGACUGCAGAUGGAGAAAGGCUCUCAAAUCCCUCUGUUGGUAAAAAGGCGAAAAUGCUCCAGACGGAUUUUCCUCUCCUUUUCCACCUACCCACAGCUCCUUCAGACAGCGUCCUCCCUAUGCAGCAAAUGCAGUCCUGUGAAGGUCAGGGUUGGUGAUAGGCCCGUGUUUUGCUGCUGUGUGCUCAGGUGCAGAAGGUAUGGGAACCCUCCUGGUCCCACCCUGUCUGGGUUUCCCUGGGAGAGCCCUGGUGCCAGGACCUGCACCCCGGAGCUGCUCACACCCUACCUGCUCCGCAAAUGAGCAGAGCCAAAGCAGAUGGCUUUGUGGAGCAUAAAACAAAACAGAGAGAUCUGUGGUGGCUGCAGAAAUACUGCCCUGGCUCUCCCCUGCGUGAUCAGGGGAUGGCAGGGCUCUCCUGCUCUGGGCAGCUGGGUGAGCCCCUAGAAGCUGGAGCUGCUGGAAGAGCUGGCUGCUGACCGACCUCCUGCAUGCCCAAUCCCAGCUCUGCGCUUGCAUUUGUGUUGCAGCAGUGUUUUCCUGGGAGCCAAACAAAACAGUUGUUCAUGAGCCACUCAGAGUAUGUGCUGGGGCAUGAAGGAGGUGUCAGUUUGUCCUAAUUAGUAAUUGCAACAGACUCACUUUGGUGUAGUGUCCUGCUAAAAGGAAUGGUAUGAAGGAUCUUGUCAUCAUUCCUCUGGAAAGUAAAGUAGUCCUCCCCAGUCCGUGGUCCCAAGCAGAGUUUGCUUGCUGAUACAUGAUCAUGGGCAAUGAAAUGAGCUCCAAUCUCCAUUUACGAGCUUUUACAAUCAAUGGUAUGGUUAAAGAUUGCAUGAUAACCAUGCUGGGAAACUUCUGUUUCUUACUCCCCUGUUUUCAGUUGCAGAUAUUUUAUAAUUCAAUGCUGGACUUGUACAUAAUACUUCAGUACCAUUCAUGCAGGUGGCUCCAAUAAAUUUAGAAACUUUUUUUGUGGUAUUUGCAGCUGACUAAUUUUUCCGUGUUGUUUUUCCUUCUCCUUUAUUAUAAAAGUGUAACUCAGUAUCAUUCAUGACAACUAGAAAUGAAGCCAGGCAAAGAUCAGACUUUGGAC